rnacentral:tRNA from 1 species
GCCUGGUUGGCUUAGUUGGUUGGGCAACUGCCUUCGGCUCAGGUCACGGUUCCGAGUAGGAAGUAUAUAUGCGGGGAUCGAGUCCCGCAUCGGGCU